rnacentral:rRNA from 1 species
AGCGGGAGCUACCAUGCAGCCGAGCGGUAGAGAUCUUUCGGGAUCUUGAGAGCGGCGUACGGGUGCGGAACACGUGUGCAACCUGCCUUUAUCAGGGGGAUAGCCUUUCGAAAGGAAGAUUAAUACCCCAUAAUAUAUUUGUCGGCAUCGAUGGAUAUUGAAAACUCCGGUGGAUAGAGAUGGGCACGCGCAAGAUUAGAUAGUUGGUGAGGUAACGGCUCACCAAGUCUGCGAUCUUUAGGGGGCCUGAGAGGGUGAUCCCCCACACUGGUACUGAGACACGGACCAGACUCCUACGGGAGGCAGCAGUGAGGAAUAUUGGACAAUGGGUGCGAGCCUGAUCCAGCCAUCCCGCGUGAAGGACGACGGCCCUAUGGGUUGUAAACUUCUUUUGUAUAGGGAUAAACCUAGAUACGUGUAUCUAGCUGAAGGUACUAUACGAAUAAGCACCGGCUAACUCCGUGCCAGCAGCCGCGGUAAUACGGAGGGUGCAAGCGUUAUCCGGAUUUAUUGGGUUUAAAGGGUCCGUAGGCGGAUCUGUAAGUCAGUGGUGAAAUCUCACAGCUUAACUGUGAAACUGCCAUUGAUACUGCAGGUCUUGAGUGUUGUUGAAGUAGCUGGAAUAAGUAGUGUAGCGGUGAAAUGCAUAGAUAUUACUUAGAACACCAAUUGCGAAGGCAGGUUACUAAGCAACAACUGACGCUGAUGGACGAAAGCGUGGGGAGCGAACAGGAUUAGAUACCCUGGUAGUCCACGCCGUAAACGAUGCUAACUCGUUUUUGGAUCGCAAGCUUCAGAGACUAAGCGAAAGUGAUAAGUUAGCCACCUGGGGAGUACGAACGCAAGUUUGAAACUCAAAGGAAUUGACGGGGGCCCGCACAAGCGGUGGAUUAUGUGGUUUAAUUCGAUGAUACGCGAGGAACCUUACCAAGGCUUAAAUGGGAAAUG